rnacentral:rRNA from 1 species
AUUGAACGCUGGCGGCAGGCCUAACACAUGCAAGUCGAGCGGAGCGGCGGACGGGUGAGUAAUGCCUAGGAAUGUGCCUGGUAGAGGGGGAUAACGACCGGAAACGGGCGCUAAUACCGCAUACUAUCAGAUGAACCAAUAUGGGAUUAGCUAGUAGGUAAGGUAACGGCUUACCUAGGCGACGAUCCAUAGCUGGUCUGAGAGGAUGAUCAGCCACACUGGGACUGAGACACGGCCCAGACUCCUACGGGAGGCAGCAGUGGGGAAUAUUGCACAAUGGGCGCAAGCCUGAUGCAGCCAUGCCGCGUGUGUGAAGAAGGCCUUCGGGUUGUAAAGUACUUUCAGUCGGGAAGCGUUACCGGCAGAAUAAGCACCGGCUAACUCCGUGCCAGCCGCCGCGGUAAUAC